rnacentral:tRNA from 3 species
GCCGUUGUAGCUCAGUUGGUAGAGCGCGUCCAUGGUAAGGACGAGGUCACCAGUUCGAUCCUGGUCAAUGGCU